UACCAGCACCCCGAGUGGUCGGGACGUUUAUUGGGCCUAAAGCAUCCGUAGCCGGUUCUACAAGUCUUCCGUUAAAUCCAGCUGCUUAACAGAUGGGCUGCGGAAGAUACUAUGGAGCUAGGAGGCGGGAGAGGCAAGCGGUACUCGAUGGGUAGGGGUAAAAUCCGUUGAUCCAUUGAAGACCACCAGUGGCGAAGGCGGCUUGCCAGAACGCGCUCGACGGUGAGGGAUGAAAGCUGGGGGAGCAAACAGG
rnacentral:rRNA from 1 species